rnacentral:rRNA from 1 species
GAUGAACGCUAGCUACAGGCUUAACACAUGCAAGUCGCGGGGCAGCAUGGGGGUUGCUUGCAAUCCCCGAUGGCGACCGGCGCACGGGUGAGUAACGCGUAUCCAACCUGCCCUUCACCACGGGAUAACCCGGCGAAAGUCGGACUAAUACCGUAUGUUGUCCAUUGACGGCAUCCGAUUUGGACGAAAGGUUUGGCGGUGAAGGAUGGGGAUGCGUCCGAUUAGCUGGACGGCGGGGUGACGGCCCACCGGGGCGACGAUCGGUAGGGGUUCUGAGAGGUAGGUCCCCCACACGGGAACUGGGACACGGACCAGACUCCUACGGGAGGCAGCAGUGAGGAAUAUUGGUCAAUGGGCGUAAGCCUGAACCAGCCAAGUAGCGUGCAGGAUGACGGCCCUAUGGGUUGUAAACUGCUUUUAUGCGGGGAUAAAGUGGCCCACGUGUGGGUUUUUGCAGGUACCGCAUGAAUAAGGACCGGCUAAUUCCGUG